GAGUGAACGCUGGCGGUAGGCCUAACCCAUGCAAGUCGAACGGCAGCACAGUAAGAGCUUGCUCUUACGGGUGGCGAGUGGCGGACGGGUGAGGAAUACAUCGGAAUCUACUUUUUCGUGGGGGAUAACGUAGGGAAACUUACGCUAAUACCGCAUACGACCUACGGGUGAAAGCAGGGGAUCUUCGGACCUUGCGCGAUUGAAUGAGCUGAUGUCGGAUUAGCUAGUUGGCGGGGUAAAGGCCCACCAAGGCGACGAUCCGUAGCUGGUCUGAGAGGAUGAUCAGCCACACUGGAACUGAGACACGGUCCAGACUCCUACGGGAGGCAGCAGUGGGGAAUAUUGGACAAUGGGCGCAAGCCUGAUCCAGCCAUACCGCGUGGGUGAAGAAGGCCUUCGGGUUGUAAAGCCCUUUUGUUGGGAAAGAAAAGCAGCAGGUUAAUACCCCGCUGUUCUGACGGUACCCAAAGAAUAAGCACCGGCUAACUUCGUG
rnacentral:rRNA from 1 species